AUUGGCGGACGGUUGACUAUCACGUAUGUAAACUGCCAUCAAGCGGGGGACAACAUGCGGAAACAGAUGCUAAUACCGCAUAACAUCAUUGUUCGCAUGAACGACGCUCAAGCUAUGGCUUCUCGCUGUCCCUUCUGGAUGGACCUGCGGUGCAUUAGCUUGUGGGUGGGGUAGCGGCGUAGCAUAGCGAUGAUGCAUAACCGAGUUGACAGACUGAUAGUGCAACAUGGGACUGACACACGGCGCAUACUCCUACGGGAGGCAUCACUAGGGAAUCUUCCACAAUGGGCGCCAGCCUGAUGGAACAGCACAGCGUGAGUGAAUAAGGGUUUCGGCUCGUAAAGCUCUGUUGUUAAAGAAGAACACGGAUGAUAGUAACUGUGCAUACGUU
rnacentral:rRNA from 2 species